rnacentral:rRNA from 1 species
AGUGAACGCUAGCGGUAGGCCUAACACAUGCAAGUCGAACGGCAGCACAGAGGGGCUCGCUCCUUGGGUGGCGAGUGGCGGACGGGUGAGGAAUACAUCGGAAUCUACUCUGUCGUGGGGGAUAACGUAGGGAAACUUACGCUAUUACCGCAUACGACCUACGGGUGAAAGCAGGGGAUCUUCGGACCUUGCGCGAUUGAAUGAGCCGAUGUCGGAUUAGCUAGUUGGCGGGGUAAAGGCCCACCAAGGCGACGAUCCGUAGCUGGUCUGAGAGGAUGAUCAGCCACACUGGAACUGAGACACGGUCCAGACUCCUACGGGAGGCAGCAGUGGGGAAUAUUGGACAAUGGGCGCAAGCCUGAUCCAGCCAUACCGCGUGGGUGAAGAAGGCCUUCGGGUUGUAAAGCCCUUUUGUUGGGAAAGAAAUCCAUCUGGUUAAUACCCGGGUGGGAUGACGGUACCCAAAGAAUAAGCACCGGCUAACUUCGUGCCAGCAGCCGCCGUAA